AGAGUUUGAUCCUGGCUCAGGACGAACGCUGGCGGCGUGCUUAACACAUGCAAGUCGAACGAUGAAGCCUAGCUUGCUAGGUGGAUUAGUGGCGAACGGGUGAGUAAUACGUGAGUAACCUACCUUUAACUCUGGGAUAAGCCUGGGAAACUGGAUCUAAUACCGGAUACGACCAAUCUCCGCAUGGGGUGUUGGUGGAAAGCGUUAUGUAGUGGUUAUAGAUGGGCUCACGGCCUAUCAGCUUGUUGGUGAGGUAACGGCUCACCAAGGCGACGACGGGUAGCCGGCCUGAGAGGGUGACCGGCCACACUGGGACUGAGACACGGCCCAGACUCCUACGGGAGGCAGCAGUGGGGAAUAUUGCACAAUGGGCGCAAGCCUGAUGCAGCGACGCCGCGUGAGGGAUGACGGCCUUCGGGUUGUAAACCCCUGUUAGCAGGGAAGAAGAGAGAUUGACGGUACCUGCAGAGAAAGCGCCGGCUAACUACGUG
rnacentral:rRNA from 1 species